AUUGAACGCUGGCGGCAGGCCUAACACAUGCAAGUCGAACGAGUGGCGGACGGGUGAGUAAUGUCUGGGAAACUGCCCGAUGGAGGGGGAUAACUACUGGAAACGGUAGCUAAUACCGCAUACCAUCGGAUGUGCCCAGAUGGGAUUAGCUUGUAGGUGAGGUAACGGCUCACCUAGGCGACGAUCCCUAGCUGGUCUGAGAGGAUGACCAGGCAAACUGGAAUGGAGACACGGUCGAGACUCGUACGGGAGGCAGAAGUGGGGAAGAGUGAACAAUGGGCGCAAGCCUGAUGCAGCCAUGCCGCGGGGAUGAAGAAGGCCUUCGGGGUGUAAAGUACUUUCAGCGGGGAGGCGUUACCCGCAGAAGAAGCACCGGCUAACUCCGUGCCAGCAGCCGCGGUAAUAC
rnacentral:rRNA from 1 species